rnacentral:piRNA from 1 species
GAUUCAGAGUGCAAAGUGGAAAACCAGGAAGCCAAAUUUAUAACAUUGUCAUAUAUAAACCAAAGGUUGCAAAAAUUUCACCAAUAUAUUCAAAAAAUAUAAAUAUUGCAUGGGAACAUGUAACACUGAGAACUUUGAGUGUUGUAGCGCAAGAGAAUAUUUACACUUUUAUAAUACUUUUAUUUCAACACCACAUCAAACCUCUUUCUGAAGUUGCAGAGCCAAUGUUGAGACACCAAUACAAGUGGCAAUUUGGGCCUUUGUAGACAAAUGUUGGUUUUACCUACACUCUAUUGUUACCUUUGGUAUUUAACUCACCCCAACUAGAAAGCUGUUCAGUGAAACAAAUUCUGUGGUUCCAGACUUCCUUCAAUGGUGAAGGAUGCAUAAAUUUGCCAGGCCUGGACAACUGGCAGAUUCCACCCAGAUGUGGGAGCUAGAGCAUCAGCAAGGAAGUCUGAUGGCAAGUCUCUUUUUAUUGCUCUCAUUUCUAACCUUUUAUUAUCACAAUGUCAUGUGUAUAACCAUUUGUCUUCUUUCUUAUCUCAUAACCAUUUGUCUUCUUUCUUAUCUCAUAACCAUUUGUUAUAAUGUCUAGUGGGAAUUUCUUAAGAGAGUCCCAAUUUAUAAACUGAAAUGUGUCUAGGGUGGAAAGGGGACAUUUUUUCCAGAUUCUUAUCUUUGUUGAUAGCAAUUCCACUGCCAGACAGUCCAGUUUCAUGUUGGCUACCGUCAGUGUAAAUUGUGAUGUCGAAGAGGGAGCUAUUUUCCUCAAUGAUUUGGAGGCCAAGAGCUUUAAGUAAUUCUGGCCGAGUUUCAUGUUUGUGGGGAUUGGCUGGUAGAUGAGGGUAACAGAUGUGUUUGUUGUGAGUUCUGUGUGGGGAAUAGGAAGUUAUGUGUUUGGGAUUAAUUGGAAUGUCUAAGAGAUGCGAGCCAUGUUGAGAGGAGUUGGGUGUUUUAGUCUUUGAUUUGGGACCCAAUUUCUAAAAAUUUUCCUAUAAGAUGUUCUUCUGGAGAGUUAAUCUUUUUGGUUAUGAAUUUUGAAAAGCAGAUUUUUCUCCUUAGGUGUAGGGAAAGAAGGUUGUAUUUGAGUUCAGCAUUGCGAUUUGGGCAAGAUCCUUGAAGCCCCCUGAUGAUUUGAGCUGCGCUUGGAUUCUGGAUAUAUUGGUUUUACUUGCAUUGAUCCAGGCUGGUGUAGCAUAUUCCAAAAUAGGUCUUACGAGUGCACGGUACAUUGUGCGUAAGAUAUUGGCAUUUGCACCCCAGUUAAGCCUGAUAUUUUAUUCAGGAUUCUGAGUCGGCUUUGUUUUAUCAUGGUGUCAAUGUUUUUUAAAAGUCAGAGCAGGGUCAAGUGUGACACCAAGAUAUCUUGGGGAAUCUGAAUAUUGGAUUAUUGAGUUGUUCAAUGAAAUAUUUGGGGUCCACUGGCGAAAGUGGUUGUUGAUGGUGAAGAGGCCAAUUUCAGAUUUGCUGAUGUUAAUUAAUAAUUUCAGUUUCUCUGUUAUCUUUUGCAGAUUUUUCAUGGCUUUAUUCAGAGAGUGUUCUGCAUCAGAGAGGUUGUUUUUGGAGACCCAGAUGAUUCUGUGUAAAGGGCAAAUAAGAUGAUAAUUGAAACUGCUGAUAAUUGGGAUAUAUGAUAAUUGGGACACCAGAUAAUUAGGACUAAUUAUGUCUUCUUCUGUCACUCAAUCAUGAUUAUAUUUGUGACUCCUGAUAUUUGAGACUGCAGAAAUGAUCCCUAAUAUUGUGAAACAUUCCUUUAUACUGGAUUCCAACAAUCAUUGCCAGGACCUGUUUGUUGCAGCACUACUAUGGAGCCUUCACAUGGAACUCCUGCCAAGGAAACAAGACUGCUACCAAUGUCCCCUCCUACACCUUCACUUAUCCCUGAGAGGGUUUUGAAGGUCAGAUCCAAUCUAUGGUAUAUUGCACCAAUAAUUGCAGCAAGCAGCCAAUAGAGUUCUUAUGCAGUAGCUUCCUACUGAGUGAUUAUUUAUUAUGAGUGACAAGAAGCACUGUCAAUAUUCUCACCGCCAGGCCACAGCCUAAUAUGACAUUCCAGCAACUUGUUACACUGAGCCUCACACACCAUUUUUACACUUGGCUCAUAUUUUAUUACAUACUAAACAGGUGACCCGGGCUUCGCCCCGGGAUUGACCUGUGUGCAUAUCUACUCGAGUGAUAUAUAUUUAGAUAAGAUUUUUUUAAAUAAUUGUUUGUUAUUAGCAUUAUCUAUUUGUUUGCAUCAGCAUAAUUUAAUCUAAUCUUUGAUAGAGGGCGCUGUUCGUGAGCUAAGUAGAAUAAUUUGAAUAUAUAGUAUUUUAUAAUUGAUUUAUAUAUUUUUUAAAAUAGCCUAUCAUCUUCCCCGUAUUUUUUUUACCUAUAUAUGGAAAUUUUGGUUUGAAUUAGUGAACUACUGCAAAUUUGUAUACCGGACAUACAAACAUACAAACAUUGAUUUCUAUAUAUAUAGAUGUACACCCCUCUUUAUUAUUUUUUUAAUUUUCAGAACUUAUUUGACAAAAAAAAAGAUACUCACACAAGCACUCUAUGGUAUAUUGCACCAAUAAUUGCAUCAAGCAGCCAAUAGAGUUCCUAUGCAAAGAUUUCCCAGUAUUUAAUCAAUCCUGAAUGCCAUCAGGGGUUGUUCCACCAUCUAAUAACAAUAGUCCAUCAUUGAGGUUGGGUUGGUUGGUCCUCUGGUAGGUCAAGCUGACAUGAGUGUAAUGUGAGGAUUAUUACAAGUUCUCUUUCAUUGGACGUCAGGAAGUUUCUCUGCUAUGUCCACAAAAGGUAACUUGCCCCGUUGAUCUAGCAGAUGUCUUUGAUUAUUGGAGCUCUUUGACAGGCCCAAACCACCAAUAGGAUUCCCUAGAUAAAACUUGUAGGAAUGUAUUUAACUAUGUGUGCACACACAUAUUGUGAAAAUAUACAAGAAUGGAACAUAGCACUUGUUGAGGUCCAGAAAGAAGGUGGUGUUAAGGGGGUCUACAUAUUAGUAGAAAAACCAGGUAGCUCUCAUUAAAUCCAGAAGGAGAAAGGACAGGGCAUAUUUUGUCCAUUAUUUAUAAGCCAAUAUAGAGCAGUAAAACUAUCUUUGACCUAUCAGAACAUGUAAGAACUAUAAUAUAUAUUACCUGUGCUAUACACACCUUCUCAUAGUAAUAUUUCAACCAAAUUGUGGACAACCUCCAGGUGAGGCUGGGUUAGGCCUUACAUGGGUGGAGACUUGUGCAUUGUUUAAAAAUCAAAUGUUCCAUCAAGUAAUGUUCCCCUAUUUCUUUGACACCUGAAGUGUUAUUAUGGAGACAUAUCCGUAAGUUGUACAUCUUUAAUUCCUGUAAAUCAUUUCUUGAAAUCUCUCUUUUCCAGAAUCAUACCUGCACAAUAUGAUGUUCAAUAUCGUCCAUUAUCAUGUGUGCACAGUGUGUGUAUAGUCUUUUAUCACAUGUUUUAUCAGAUUUUGAAAUAUGCUCCAGAUUGAUUUUAAGGACAUUGGUUAAUGCUGAGGUGAGCUUCUUAACCUUCUCUGAGACUGUUUUUGAAAAAUUCAUUAAGCGCACUAUAUAGAAUACUAGGGAUGUGUGUAGUAGUUUUUGCCAUGCCUCAUAGCAGCCUGGGAAUGCCUUUGCCAAUAAAUUAUCAUCUUCUGUUGGGUUGUGUCUCUCCUAUUGAUAAAGGCAUCAACCGUUGCUCUUUUCAGCGCUGUGUUGAACUUCCAAUCGGUCAAUAAGCAGCUUGCACCGCCUAUCCCUCUCUGCUGUUCUCGGUGGCCUUGAUGACCGGGCAGGAAAGUGAAUCAGUGGAGGUACAGGUGGGCAAGGAGAGGAUGGAUGUGUGUUUUGUUUGAGUAGGUGUGUGAGAAGAUUUGUGGAGUGAUUGGCCUCGAUGAGGCGUUGUUGGUACGUGUGUGACAGGUGUGAAAAAGUUUUAUUCAGGGUUUCGUUAAAUCUAUUGGUUUGGCACUGUGUUUGUCACCACACCUGUGACAUUUAGCCACAGUUUUGUUGUCACAGGCCUUAGAAAGAUGCGCACCAGCGCAGUGGCUACAUUUAGCCGCCCUAGUGCACUUUCCAUUGUUGUGGGUCCUGUGACUCAAGCUGCCACAGACACCACAUGGGAAUAUGCGCUUUGCUCUAGCGAGUCUCAGUGAUAGGAAGUCAAUUGUGAUCCUACCACGCUCGAGCAAGGCAGUCUCUACUUCCUUAUUUACUUCUACUAUCGCAGUGGAGGGGGCACCCUCUUUCUUAAUCAGUUCCACCAUCCUGAUGUUUUCGCCACUUUUCAGCAGCUUUUCGACAACGGGAUGGCUACUAAUAUCAGCCACAAGCUGCUCCUCAGUUUUCUCUCCAGGAAUAACGAAGAUAGUAAGCCUGGGCUUGAAUGUGGGGUUUGUCUGGACUUUAAGUCCACCAAUGUUGGCGGACUUAACGUUGUCCACAAGCCUCUUUUUUUCAGAGGGGUUGGCGAAGUGGAGGACAAGUUUUUUUUAUCCCUCCCUGUCACCGCGGCUACAUCACAAUUUUUUAAACUGGGAGUUUGGGCGAUUUUUGCCCUAAUCUCACUAACAGUGAGGUCCUUGGAAGCGAGCUUCACGUGGUUGGUGCUGUUACGCAGCAUAUGCUCGUAACUGGGUUUAGUUGGUUUAGCAGGCUUAGCACCUGCAUUGGUUGGCUGGGUGACUUUAUUCGUCACAGGGGCUGGUUUGGGAGGAGGUGUUGGAGCUACUUUUUUAAUAGAGGCUGCGUGCGCAGCCCUGAUUUCUUCUACUCUGAGGUCACAGCCCUUCAGCUUGCGCUGAAGAAUACCUACAACGGUAUUUUGCAGCUGGCGAGCAGCAUAUCAAUUGUUCCGUACAAUUUUUUAUUGGCUGCAGAGUCCUGUUCCCCGCUAAGCCCUACUCCAAUUUCAUGCUGCAAGAUUUCCCUGUAGCUUGAAAAGGAUGUUUCUAUCUCUUCCCACCCCUCCCUAAAAGCUGUGUUAGAGUUUGAAGGUUUGAUAGGAGGAGGAAGAGAAGGAGUGACCCAGGGACACUCACCAUUUUGGAGAGUUGGGGCAGAAGAAGAAGCGGAGGUAUCCGCCGCGUUCAUAGUUGAGAAUAUCCAAGAUUAAUCCAAGAGUGUAGGGGUGCACUGUUAGGUGGCCCGGGACUUGAAUGAUGAUUCACGCUCGUUGGCGUGUCUAUUAUUAUUAUGCCUUCUACAUGCUUUCGGAGACACGCUCGUUGGUGUGGAAGAGUUAAAUGGCCGAGUGCGGCCGCUCUGGAGAUCCCGCAUUUUGAUUGGCUGCGGGCGGAAAAAAUCCGGGGAGGAUAAAUGGCGUUUGGCGGCCGUCCAAGAGAUCCGGGGAAUUAAAUAAUUUUUAUCCUCGUCUGGUUUCUUGGUGAAUUGGGGCUGGGCGUCCAAGGAUGUAUCCUUGCAGGACCGCUGGCGCUGGGGAACAGGAGCACAGGAGACCAGGGGCACUAUAGAGAAAUUCCUAUUUAGCUUCGGCAUAGGUGGGCAGGGAGAGGAUGUUUGCAAUUUUUGUUCAAGGAGAUGAGUGAGGAGGUUUGUGGAGUUGUUGGCCUCGAGGAGGCGUUGUUGGUGUAUUUUCGAGAUGUGUGCAAAAGUUUUUUUUAGAGCAAAGCGGAAACCAUCAGCAAGGGUGGGGUCAACAGAGUCAGCAUAAGGGGCAAGGAUGUGAUAGGCCCAGUUUAGAUGUAGGAGGUGUGAGGGGUUGUUGGUUGGGAACAUGUCACAUGUGGGUGGAGGUGAGUCAAGGGUGUAGUGUUGUUGAGGUGGUUGGCGUAGGUGGAGUGGUGUGUGUACAUGUGUGGAUGAGGUAGGGUGAAGAGGGGUGGAGGAGCUCACCCCUGGUCGACUGCCAAGGUCCAGAUUCCCGCCGAUGGUAGGGUCGAGCAGGGAGUAAUCCAAGAGAGUAGGUGUGCACUGUUCGGUGGCCAGGAACGUGAAUGAUGAUUCACACUCGUUGGCGUGGAAGUGUUAAAUGGCCGAGUGUGUCGAGGCUGCGGUUUGGAGUUUGGUUUUUGUGAGCUCCAGAGGGAGGAGACAGCGUUGACAUCUCCUGCGAAGAGAAGGCGGGGAGGGUGUGGGGAGCCAAAGAGGGAGAUAAAGGAGUCGACGAUGGGGGAGUAAGAAGUGUGGUGGGGGAAGUAUACGGAGCAGAGAGUAAGGUGAAAGCCGGGGAUGUCAAGGAUUGCGAGGGUGCGGUUGGUGGUGGAGAGUUGUGGGAGGAAAAUGACGGGAAGGCUUUGAUUAAGAACAAUUAUACAGGAGUUACACCGGUUGUUAGAGAUGGGAGCAUGGAGGAGGGGGUGGGAAAUGGGGAGGGAAGGGCAUUGUCACGGACCGGAAGUUCUUGAAGGAGAAGGAUAUCUAUAUGGGAGAACUGGGCAAAUUGUAGUAAGGAGAGGUAGCAAGGGAGGGAUCGGUUGCAGUUAAGCUGUAAGAACUUAAGCAUUUAGGGCAGGUUGUGGGUGCUAAGGAAUGUGGUUUCAGCGGCUUUGAUGACCGGGCAGGAGAGAGAGUCCGCCCGGUGUUGGCCGGGGAGGGUGGUGGCGGUGCAGUUGUUAGUGAUGUGGCCUUCGCCGCAAUGGAGGCAUCUGGGGGGCUUACUGCAAAUAUCAUUGCGGUGACGGAUGUCACCGGUUACGGCAAGGGUGGGUUGAUCUGGUUCUGUCGAACCUGAUUGAGUUAUAUCCCAAAAAGAGACGGGUUCAAGAUUGCAGUUGGGUGGCAGUGUCAGAGUCGGUUUCGAUGACCGCGUGUGUGGAGUUGUUGCGGCCGGUAAAAGUUCUAAUGAGUUUACAGUCAGUGCCUAUUGAUUGGGUGAGAAGGGAGGGCAGGUCGCUGAGUGGGAUAGUGUUGGGGAGGUUGAAGAGGGAAAAGCGGGGUUUAAAGGUGGGGGGGAGGUUGACGCUGAUGUUUGUGCCGUUGGUGGCAUUUUUGAGCUUGGCGUAGAUAGAGUCCAUGCUAUUUUUGGAGUUAAUGUGUAUGAUGAUCUUGUUACUGGCACGGAAGAUGUUAGUAAUUUGGGUGGAGGGAGUAUUGAGGGAGGAGAAGAAAAUUUUUGAGUUGAGGUUGUUGUCAAUGGGCGUGCAAGCAGAGGGGUCCUGGGUGAUGAGGAUCUGGAAGGGGUUGUUGCGGUUGGAAUGGGGAGGGGGGCGGCGGGAAGGGCGGAGUGCCCCCGGAGCUGAAGAGGUGGGGGUAGCCCCCAGGGGGGGGGCCUUGGGAAGAGGGCGCAGGCCGGAGCGGACCAAAAAAUGUUAGGUAGCGGAACGAGAAUACUAGAAAGGUCCGCCACCUUCUGAUAACAAUUUAAAGUGUCCUGUCCAAGUGCUGGAAAAAUGGGAGAUAAACUCCGUAGAACUAUUUAUUUCAAAGAAGGAAGGUUAACAAUUAAAAGAGUUAAAGCUAAAGGAACCAAAACAAGGACAGCGGCAAUCCCAGCUGCUUUCUCGAAGCGCGCAAAGCUCCGUCUUCCUGUGGACUCUCCUUCUUUAGAACUCUUUAUCUUUAGGCUUCUAGAACCUCUAUAUCUUUAGGCUUCUUGAACCUCUAUCUUUAGGCUUCUAGAACCUCUUUAUCUUUAGGCUUCUAGAACCUCUAUAUCUUUAGCAAGGCAGUCUCGACUUCCUUAUUUGCUUCUACUAUCGCAGUGGAGGGGGCACCCUCUUUCUUAAUCAGUUUCACCAUCCUGAUGUUUUCGCCACUUUUCAGCGACAAGUUUUUUUAUCCCUCCCUGUCACCGCGGCUACAUCACAAUUUUUUAAACUGGUAGUUUGGGCGAUUUUUGCCCUAAUCUCACUAAUAGUGAGGUCCGCGGAAGCGAGCUUCACGUGGUUGGUGCUGUUACGCAGCAUAUGCGCGUAACUGGGCUUAGUUGGUUUAGCAGGCUUAGCACCUGCAUUGGUUGGCUGGGUGACUGGGCUGACUCACCAGGUCGAAGGAUACAUCCUUUGGGGCUGAGGGGAGAGUGUAGGGAAAAAACCAAGAGAUAGACAGCGGUUAAAGAGAAAUAGGAAGAAGGAGGGAAAGGAAGAAAGAAGCCACUUAGCAAACUGUCCAGGUAACUGGUCAGGGCCAAAUGCCUUCCUGGGAUUAAGGUUGUUAAUUGCCCUAGAGUACUCAAAAGGAGUAAUAGGUGGGUCAUGAGGAGAAGAAUGAGAGGAGGAGCUAGUGUUUAGAGCAAAGUGAAAGGGCCUAGUGUCAGGAGGGGGGGUCAGUGAAGAAAGAGUCUAACAUAUCCUGAAGACAGGCAGGGAUGUUAUGGUGAAUUAAUAUAUUCUCAAACCGUCGGGAGCAAAGAGGGUCAGGUUUAGCCGAGCCAUGGGAGAUAUAGCGAUAGAUUGGACCCCAAGGAUUAAGCUCAAAAGUAUUGCAAUUUCCUAAAAUAAAUAGUCUUAGCCCUGUCAAUAGCCUUGUUGAAGCGGUUACGCACCUCCACAUAACGUUUGUCGCAUACCUCGAGAUAUUUGCAUAGUAUUGUUUUGUUUUGUAUAUUUUUACAUUUUGUUUCUUUUGAAAGGAUGAUAGAUUUGCAUGUCCACGAGAAGCGCGUUGUAUAUAUAUAGGUAGGAAAAGUAAUAAAGUUAGAGUUUCUUUUGCUUAGGAGCUUCUCUUGUUCUGUGGAACUCGUUCUUUUAAGUAGAACACCACAACAUGGCGCAGCCGGCAGGAUCAUCAAAUUCGACCAUUGAAAGCCUCAUCAGGAUGAUGGCGAAGCAGCAACGCUUAAUGAUGGACUUGCUUUUUGAAAAUAAAAAUGAAAUGGUAGAUGAAGAGGAAUAUUUCAAAGAUGAAGAAGAAGAUGAUGAAGAAGAAGAAGAAGAGAAGGAAGAAGAAGAAGAUGAAGAAGAAGAAGGAGAGGAGGAAGAAGAAGAAGAGGAAGAAGAAGAAGAUGAAGAAGAAGAACAUUGUACUGAUUCAAAAGUUGAAAAAAUUCAGUUGUAGAAACGGAAGAAAGUGAAAUAGCCGAAGUUGAGAAAAAAUCCGUUGAAGCAGAUGAAAGCAGAAGCAUAAUGAGAUUUGAUGAGCUCUUCUGGGGUAGAAAGUUAGUCCCUGUUGGAAAAGGCACAUGGCCAAAAUGUUUUUUGAGGGAUGUUACUGAUAAUGGCGGAUCUUCUGUUUAUAGAAUUGAACAGAUUUCUGAAUAUAGGACUCCAAAUAUUGAUCAUAGAAAAAAUUGGUCUUAUAUUAAAAAGGAAAUAAAUAUUUUUGAUGCUUUAAGAACCUUACAAGGUAGUACUCAAGCUAAUCUUUGUUAUCCUAAAGAUUUUUGGAUUGUUCGUGAUUUGGGAUCUAAAUGUUUUUCAAAUAUUACUGAAGAUAGUGAAAAGAAUAAUAAUUUAGAUUUGAAUGAUAUGAAUUUAUCUCAUUUUGUCGUUUUUCAUUCUGAAUAUGGAGGGAAAUCUCUAAAGAAAGUAUUGGAAAAUGGAAAACUUUCGCCAGAACAAUUUAUGAGCAUUCUUUGUCAGAUUUGUAUUUUGAUGAGUCAUGCUGAGCAAAACAUCGGGUUGGUUCACAAUGAUAUAAGUCCCAGAAAUAUUCUGAUACGACCGACUGCUCAAAAGGUUUUGAACUACGACAUUGGAGGAGAGAAUUAUGAAAUUCCAACCAACAACUGCAUUGCCAAGUUGAAAGAUUUUGAGAUAUCUCGACUUGUAAAGAAUGAUAAUCCUAAUCCGAGUGUUUUUUACGAGAAUGUUUCUCAGCUAAUUUGGACCCAUAAUGAAAUGCGAGAAUUUGGCUCUGCUUAUGAAAUACAUACUGAAUUCAUUGAAGAGACAUCAACGCAGAUUGCCGUUGAAGAAAGUCAAAAAUCUCAUUCAGAAACUGAAGCCUUAGAUAAGUUGGGAGUCCCAUAUUUCUGGCUAGUUGUCUUGAAGAAAGCUCCUCAGGCCAGCAAGUACAUCCAACCCUAUGACGAGCCUGUUCUGGCAUAUCUUAAAGACAUUCGUGUCGAGAGCUAUGAAGGUUCAAUGGGAUUUUCAAUCCAUUUUGACUUCAAUUCCAACCCGAAUCUAGAGAACGAGACAUUGACCAAAUCGUACAAGAUGAGAUGCCUUGUCAAAGGUGGUGUGAGGGUAGGGCCAGAAAUCACUGAUGUAACCUCGACCCCCAUCAACUGGAAGCAGGAUAUAACCAUCACCAAGUGGCCGGAGGACAAUUUCAUCAUAGACCACCCGGAGUCCCAUCACAGGAGUGAUGAGAGGUCAUGGAGGGGGGGAGUCUGUCGCAUACCUCGAGGUAUUUGCAUAGUAUUGUUUUGUUUUGUAUAUUUUUACAUUUUGUUUCUUUUGAAAGGAUGAUAGAUUUGCAUGUCCGUGAGAAGCGCGAUGUAUAUAUAGGUAGGAAAAGUAAUAAAGUUAGAGUUUCUUUUGCUUAGGAGCUUCUCUUGUUCUGUGGAACUCGUUCUUUUAAGUAGAACACCACAACGUUCUCUCAAGCGGUCACGAAGUGGAGGAAAGAAGUUCUUGUAUUCCCUUCCCAGUCUCCUGGAGAGGGUUUUAAGGGACUGUAGUUUAGGAGACCACCAGGGAUUGGGUGGGGGGAAAGCAGGAAGUGGUCCCUUGGGGGAAAGGUUGGCAGAACAACACAUGUGUAAAAGUUCGUAAAAAGUGCCAACAAAGCACUCGAUGGAAGCGGCAGAGUCACAAUUGUUCAGAGCCACCUGCAGGGCACCUUCAGGAGAAAGGAGAGAUUGAAGAGAUAAGAAAAGCCUAGAAGGUGGGGCAGAUUUAAGAUUAAAAGAGGAAAAGUCAGGAAAGAGAGAAGGAGAAGAAAGAGGAGAAGCGUCAAGAUCCGGGGUGGAAACAGAGAAUGAGAUCUCAAAGUGAUCUGAGAGAUCCCACUCAACCGCAUCCCACCCGGACACAGAAGAAAGGAGACUGGAGGUGAUGCAGGUGACAUCUAUGGAAGAGGAUGAAGAUCCUUGUGCACGGGUAAUGGCUCCAUGACGGUUACACACCGCCAGGUUUAGGGAGUCCAACAUGAAGUUGAGGUGCGUACCUUUGGCACGGUGGCGGUUACUCCAGCGGUUGGACUCUGCAUUAAAAUCUCCAGCAAAAAGGAGAUUUGGUGGAGGAGGAGAGCCAAAUAAAUUAGUAAAAGAUUCAGCUGUCCUCGAAGCAUUAGCUCGGCAAGGAAUGUAAACCGAACAGAUGGUGAAGUGGAAGUUCGGUAUGUCAACAACCGCCAGAACACGGUUCACAGUAGAAAGUUUAGGAAGAAGUAGAACCGGUAGUACUUGGUUCAGCACCACAAUAGCAGCACUGCAUUUGUUGUUUGAAAUGGGGGCAUGCAAGAUAGAGGAAGGUGGAAUAGGGUGGGCAGACGGAAGUCGGUUGUUUGAAACAGGAAGUUCUUGCAGCAGUAGGAUAUCUACGGCUUUAGAAGAAGCUUCCUGGAGAAUGGAAUGGAAACAUGCAAAUGAACGAUUGCAAUUUAAUUGCAAAAAAGAGAUUAGCAUGUGUGUUGAACCAAGUUAUGGAAACUCUCCUCCACCAUUCUUAUGACCGGACAGGCAAAUGAGUCUGCCCUGUGACCGUUCUGAUCCGGCUUGCAGCGGAAACAACUGGGGCUAGUACCAGUUGUGGGACAGUCCGCAAUCUUGUGGGCAAGCCCACAAUGAAGGCAACGCACCGGGCCAGAACAAGAAUUGGUCCGGUGCCUGAGACUACCACAGGACCUGCAGGGGAAGGUAGCCCGAGUCCUGUCAAUGGACAGAGAAGAGAAUCCAAAAUAGAUUCUCUUUUUGCCCUCCAGAGCAGUGGCAAUGAUGUUGUUGGUCUCAAACACCGCAUGGACCCGACCGUUCCGCGCUGAGAUAGUUCGGAUGAGUCGGCAGUCAGUAUCCUGACAUUCGACCGACCGGACAAACAUGGUGGUAAGAUCCUCCUCAUUGGUAAUGUCAGGUACAUUAAAGAUGGUGAAGCGAUGGUGGAAAGAGGGAGGUGUAGAUAUUUUGAUAUUUGUAUUUUUGGUAAGGUCCACCAGUUUACGGUGCAGUUUAGUAAAAUCCUCUUUUGACCUAGUGUGUAUGGUAAUUUUAUCUCUGGAAGUAUUUAUAUGGGACCCAGGAGCCCCCAAAGCGGAGAAAGAAGACAUAUUAGAAAGCCUAAGGCUAAGAGGCUGAGCCUCCUUGGGGUCCUGUGUGAUAGUAAAGUGAAACGGGUUAUUGGUCAAAGUAAACCUAGGAGUGGUCUUUGGUUGGGUGGGGACAGGUCCCCGACUAGCCGAGGGGGCUGAGCUAGCAGGUUGCACAGAAGGACGGCUUGAGGCCAUGGCAGAGUACGAAAGGGGAGCGGCAGUAGCGGAAGUGUCAACAGGGGUGGCAAGUGUACUUAUGGCAGAGAUACCAGGCUCAGCAAGAGUGGCUGAGGUGGCAUCAACAACAACAUGUGGGUGGGCAAAAUGCUGCUGUUUUGAUUGGGAAGCCAUCUGUAAUAAGAGUCCAGAGGAAAAAUCCAAUUCAGAGAUACGACGUUCAUAGUCGGCCCUAAGAUGUAAAAGAAUGCCCUUAAGUUCAGAAAGAACUGAGGAACCAAGUUCAGCAGAAAAUUCAGAAAUGGAAUUAGAGAUAGUCUUAAUUGAGAUGGCUGCCCAAUCAAAAAUAUCAAAACAAUUGUUAGAAGUAGUACAUUUAGAAAAGGCCACAAAAUUAGGUGGCGGCUCCAAGGAAAUGGUAGGCAAAGGAAAGUCCUCAAUGUCAACAAUAGUAUUAGGUUGGUAAGAAUGGGAGGAAGAAAAAGAUUCAGAUUCAGAAGGAGAGGGAGAAAGAGAGCGAGAAUGAGAUGAACUCACAGGUUUUAGGUUAUCCGGGUCCAGAGUAAGGCACAGAGUGGCGUCGCGCAUAUGAUCUGGGGAGUAAGUCAGCUGAGGGUCUUGGCCGGCGGGAAGGGUCUCGGUAGGGCUAGCGGCGCGGUCAGCGGCGGCGCACUGCGCCCGGGGUGUCUUAGGCUGCGGAGCUUCCGCUCGGUGGACAUCGCUGUGGAGGUAGGGAAGGCGGGCGGGCGGGCGGGAGCUUGGUAAAAGAGCUGUCUUCACGGCAAAAACUUGAAAAAAGUAAAAAUAGCCGCAGAAAUUCGGCCGUUCAGGAGAGCUCAAAUUUUCUGAUUUGCGGACACUCGAAAAAAUAGCGGAAUUUGCGGCCGCUGCGGAGAGCACGAAUUUUCCAAUUGGCUGCGGGAGAUGGCGGCCGUUACAGAGAUGACCGACGACGGGAGCGAUGUGUACUCGGCGCGCCCGGCAGAAGGGACGCUCGGAUGGAUAUGGUUAUAGCUAAUUGACCAAAUGGGAUGGCCUUCUAGCUCUACUACUUAGAAGAGGACAGGAUAGAAAAAUAGGGAUAAAGAGAAGAGCACACAGCGCCUGGGGAUGUUGGUGUAGAACAAAAAAAAAGGACCUUAUCAAAGGAGCCAGAAAUUUUUUUUUUCUUUUGAGGAGAAAGUAAUUUCAGAGCACAAAAUCUGGAAGUACUGAAUCGCAUCUUUUGCCAACCAAUGAAAAUGAGCGGCCGCCAGACCACAAAACCCCCGGUUGUGAUGUCGCGCGAUUAAUCGACCAAUCCCGUCCACAAGCCAGCUGGCAAAUUAAAAGUUUGACAUCGCAUACAUAAUUAGUGAUACACGCAUAUGCAGGUAAAACACUGAUGUAAAGUUUAGGUGGAAUUAGAGUCGGGAACCUCCUCUGAUUCCAACUCUCGGAUCCGCGGUCUCAGCCUGUCGCAAGCCAGGAGAAAAUCGAUACAGGCUCGCCAGGUUAAACAACUGUGGGUGAAGUCGCAGGAGCGCCCUCGGCGUGUAACCGAGUUCCCUCCCCGCUAUAAAAAAUAGACAAGUUCUGAGGGAGUCCAGACUGUCACACUCGAGCAUGAUAUGUUCCAGAGUUUCUUCCUCUCCAGAGUCACAGAAAGGGCAGAUAGGAUCAUCAAUAAAUCCAAGUCUGUGAGCAAAGCUGUCUGUCCAUGUGUGUCCAGACAGCAGGCCAAUCACGGUGUGGACACUGGGGACGAUGUACGCAUGUUUUUUGUCCAAGAGACUCAUUGGAGAAAGGCCAAAGCGGGUGAAGAUUCUGCGCUCGGCGGAGAUGAAUCUGUCCGUGCCAAGCUGCCCACGCCCGCUUGUAGAUUAUCGAUUUAAGUUUCGACAGCGGUGCGAGGCGAUAGCAGCUCGGGAGAUCAGAAUCCGCCCCGCGUUUCGCGAGCACAUCAGCUACCUCAUUACCAAAAAUCCCGCUGUGGCCCUUGAUCCAUUGUAUGGUACAUCUGUUCCCAUUGCGGUUCAGUUGUGAAAUCAGCAACAAGGCUCUGUUUACCAGGAGGUUGCCAGUUCUGGUGUUUAGAACGGAUUUCACAACUGAGAGGUUAUCCAGGAGAAUUUCAAUGGUGUAAUUGUCGGGAAGCUUUGAGGCGUCCUCAAGUGCUUUAAUCAAGCCAAGUGCCUCCGCUUGGAAGACAGAACAGUACGGGGACAGGACAAAACUCUCACGCAAUUCAUUCAUUGAGCCAUUCGCACACACUCUAUAUAGGCCUGUGCCAACUCCAGUUCUAGUCUUGGAACCAUCUGUGUAGUAGGUGACGUCAGCCGAAAGAUCAGGAAUAUUAAUGGGAGCGGAGUAAUAGGGAGGAUAGGGAAGUGGGUGAGGGCAGGGAGGAGGUUCGACUGGAAAAUCGGCGUCAACAAAACUGUGCUUUUUAAAGUACAAUUCCGCUUUGGCGCCGACAUCCAGAUCGAGAGGGAGAACACGGGAAAGAGAGAUGAGAGAGUAAGAGUCAGUUGUUUUAAACGCGCGGCAUGUCCUGAUGAGGAACGGGCGCUGCGCGCUUAAGAGAGUAUUUAAAGAGCGUUGUUUUAGAUUAGGAAACCACACAGGAGAAGCGUAAGAGAUGGCUGGGACCACAACCUGUAGAUAGAGCAUCCUCAGGGCACGGAAACCAAAGCCAAAAUUGGAGUUGGCGGCUGCUGUCAAACGCGGGAGAAAUCCGCGGACUCUGGUGCAAACCUCAACCACGUGCUGGUGGAAGGCGAGACGCCGAUCAAAUCUUACUCCCAGCACUUUGAUUGAGUCGCUCCAUUGAAUGGGUUGACCAUUAAUGGUUAGAUCGCAGCUAGGUUUUAGUAGCCUGCCAGUACGUCUUAGAAGGAGCAUGGCCUGACACUUCCUCACGCUGAGUUCCAAUUUAUGCAGGCCACACCACCUCGUGAUCUCAUUAAUGGCAAGUUGCGCCGCUCCAAGUUGCUGAGUAACUUGGCCAGACACUACCAUAACAAGAUCGUCGGCGUAGGCCUGCGGGUGUACACAUUUUUUAAAGUUGAGCGUGAGGAGCUCGUCAAAGACAAGGUUCCAAAGAAACGGCCCAAGAACUGAGCCCUGCGGGCAGCCUUUGGAAACCUGCCUCGUGACCGUGCAACCAUUCAUAGACAGUCUGACAACACGGUUAUAAAGGAAGGAGCGAAUCAGAACAAACAGGUUUUUAGGACAAUCAUUCAUACACAGAGCUCGCAAUAUGCUGGAGUGUAGCACAUUGUCGAAAGCGCCUUUCACAUCAAAGGAAAGAAGAAUAGUAGAUUUUCUAUGUUGAAGCGAACGGGAGAGAUUAUUUUUUAAAUUUAGAAGUGCGGCGACAGUAGAUCUGCAGGGCCUGAAACCGAACUGGUUUGGCUGGGCUUUACACAUCCUCUCUGCUCGCCACGAGAGCCUGGCCAGGAUAAGACGCUCUAGAAUUUUACCUAAGCCAGGCAGCAUCGUGAUGGGCCGAUGAGACGCGAGAAAGUCCUCACCACCUUUUUUGGGAAUGAGUAUGACAUCACCCAGUUUCCAAGGGGUUGGAAAGUGUCCAGUUUCAAAGCACUUAUUAAAGAUCUUUAAAAAGAACGUCGGGAAUUUUUUAAUUAAUUUAACAAUGACUAAAGGUGGCAUACCAUCACUGCCAGGAGCAGAAGUAAGGCUAACCUUAUCCGCAGCCAGUAGCAAUUCUGUUUCUGAGAACGGUGGGUCGUUUUCAGAGGUGGACUGCACGGCUUUAUGUAAGUUAACAUGCUCUACUGUUAUAUCGGGCGGGACGCGGCCGAAGUAAUGUUUUAAUACGUGUUCUAGAGUGUCCCGCGGACUGUCAGUGAGAUCUUCGCCAACCAGGAGAGAGGAUAGAGGCUUCCUCUUGGUGGAGCCUUUAAUAAAUUUAUAAACGCCGCCCCAGGGGUUAACCUCGCAAAGCGAACAGAUCCUUCUCCAUUCAGCAGACUUCGCGUGUCUGAUAGAGGUGCGGAAUCUAUUAUAUAAUUUCUUAUAAAAUAUUUUCAGCACGCUUCUAACAGGCCCACGAGCUUUUCUCCAGGCUCGUUCAGCUUUUUGAGUAACCUUUUGGAGCGGAUUUAGUUCAGGUUUCCACCAAGUGGGUUUCUUAAAAAAAAAAUUAUUGGUGGCAGGUUUAGAGGGAAUGGUUUGUAGACACGAAUGAAACACCUCGUCUUUUAGUAAAUUAAUUACUUCAUCGACUUGAGUUGUGUCACUCGCGUCCAUUAAGGAUGAAAUUUAAAAAAUUUUUUUUUUAAAGCUGGAAAAAAAAAAAUCCCAGUCGGCGCGACCAAAGCUGAAGUUUACUUCGCUAAAGUUGUUUACAUGUAUAUCACUAUUGUUGUUAGAAGAGAGGGGUUCUAAAUUAACGUUAAACACGAGGCGUUUAUGGUCAGAUAAAGCCUGGUUGAUAGCGUCCCAAUCUGUGACCUUGUCCGCGAGGCCGGCAGAACAACACGUGACGUCGAUGGAGGAAGAUUGAUCUCCCUCCUCCCACGUGACCGUGCCAUGUUUGUUGACGACGUGGAAUAAAUUCGUGUCAAUGAAGUUUUCGAUGUUAUCUCUCUUGGAGCAAUUGUAUUUAAGCAACCGCGCUUUAUUUGACCAUCUAUAUGAUUCAAUAUUAAGGUCGCCGCAAAAAAUCACCUCGUGGAAAUUAAUUGUUUUUAAAGAGUUGUCUAUCCUAUCAAGAAGAGCUUCAGAACAACAUGAUGGUGAAAGAUAGACAGUACACAGAAGGAUUGUCAAGUCAUUCACUUCGCACAGGACAAAUACAGCAUUCACACAAGACAAGUGAGAUAAAUGUAAAAAUUUUAAAUUCGGAUUUGCUAUUAUUACAGCCGCUCCCAAUUUAUUUUCAGUUAUAGGACCGUGGCAAACCCUGUCAAGGGGCACUGGCAAUGAUGGUAAGUUGUUUUUAGAAACUGGGAGUUCUUGCAAUAAUAGCACAUCCGAUUUUUCCUCGCGACAUUCAUUCAACAAUGAGUACAAACAAUAUGGAGAGCGUCUUACAUUGGCUUGUACACACUUAAUAACGUUCAUUUUACCCAUAAUUUAUUGAAAUUGUCCUGUGCCUCCCGCAUGUGUUUACACGCCAUGGAGUUGGCACUGUGUUUGUCACCACACCUGUGACAUUUCAAAGCUGCUUUAUUUUCACAUGCUUCGGAAAGAUGCGCACCAGCGCAGUGGCUACAUUUAGCCGCCCUAGUGCACUUCUUUCCGUCGGUGUAGGUUUUGUGACUUAAGCUGCCACAGACACCACAAGGGAAGACGCGCUUUGCUCUGGCGAGUCUCAGCGAAUGGAAGUCGAUCGUGAUCCUACCACGCCCGAGUAGGACAGUCUCAACCUACCUGUUAACCUCAAUUAUCGCGGUGGAGUUGGCACCCUCUUUUUUAAUUAAUUUAACCAUCUUUACGUUUUCGCCGCUUUUCAGCAGCGGUACAACUGCGGGAUGGCUAUUGAUAUCAGCCACAAGCUGCUCUUCAGUUUUCUCUCCUGGAAUACCAAAGAUGGCAAGCCUGGGCUUGAAUGUGGGGUUUGUUUGGACUUUAAGUCCACCAAUGUUGGCGGACUUAACGUUGUCCACAAACCUCUGUUUCUCAGAGGGGUUGGCGAAGUGGAGGACAAGUUUUUUGUCCCCCCCUGUCACCGCGGCUACGUCACAGUUCUUUAGACUGGGCGUCUGGGCGAUUUUUGCCCUGAUCUCGCUAACGGAGUGUUCAGCGGAAGCGAGCUUUACGUGAUUAAUGCUGUUACGCAGCAUAUGCGCGUAACUGGGUUUGGAUGGUUUGGCAGGCUUAGCACCUGCAUUGGCUGGCGGGGUGACUUUAGUCAUCGUUGUGGUUGGUUUGGGAGGAGGUGUGGGAGCGACGGUAGUUGUUUUUUUCUUCAAGGCUGUUAAUUCAGCCCUAAUUUCUGCGACUUUAAGGUCGCAGCACUCCAGCUUAUGCUGGAGGAUCCCCACAGCAGUGUUUUGCAGAUCGGCGAGCAGACCAUUCAUUGCUUGAAAGAAAAACCUAUUAGAUGGGGAGCUUAGCUCCCCGCUAAUCCUUGCCCCAACUUCAUGUAUAAAGAUUUCUUGGAAGCCCUUAAAAGAAGUGUUAAUUUCUUCCCACCCUUCCCUAAACGCUGUGUUAGAGUUAAUGGGAAUAAUGGGAGCAGGAGGAGAAGGAGUGACCCGGGGAAACUCACCCAGAGUAGGGGCAGAAGAAGCGGAGGUAUCCGCCGCCAUAGUGUUAUCCAAAGAGUAAUCCGCACAAGAGUAAUCCACGAGCAAUCCAAGAGAAAGAGUGAUCCAGUGAUGUGUGCACAGGUUGGUGUCAGGGACGCGAAUGAUUAGAGGAAGGGACGCUCGUUGGCGUGGUGUUAAAUUUCACUCCCUCCGCUGUAAGCUUUCGGACAAGCUUUUUCGGAGAACAUACACCUGACAUCAACAAGGUAAGCGGCCCGCCGCAUCUGGAAGGCUGAAAACUGGCAGGCACGGAAGGCUGUGAGGGCACCGACAGAGGGAAGUGGAAGCCGGGGAGAGUUGGCUAAGGGUCGUGGCUGAGGGGACAAGGCUGCGCCAAGUACACCAAGUACAGGCGGCAAGUAAAUCUGCUGAAAACUUUAUUGAUUAGUCACAAUCAAGUACAGGAGGGGAAGUAAAUAGGAUCAUGGGUACAAGUGGCUAUUUACAAGCAGUAGGGGUGGGAAACAAUGGGAGGUAGGUGGAAAGGAUGGCAAGUGGGCAAGAUGAUGAAGGGGUUACAGGGUUGGGUUGGCACAUGGGGUUCCAGGGGGGAUAUUUACAGGGAGACAGAAAGGGGGAUUAGGCAAAAGUUAUAAAGAGUCAUCAGAGGAUGGACAAUUCUCAGGCACGAAUCUACCACAGUUGUUGCCAAAAUCGCAGGCAGAGCGCCAGAGAGAGCUGGAAGUGGCAAAAUCAGAGAGGGUGGUUGGAAUCCUACCGGCAAUGGACAAGCAGGAAUUAAACAAGGUAGCCCUGAGGUCGUCAAGGUGGGGACAGUUGAAAAAGAUAUGCUCUACUGUUUCCGGAGCGAGAUGGCAGUCGGGGCACGUGAUUUCACGCAAGAGGUCCCUUCUACUAUACCUGUAAGAUCCAAUGAAGGAGUGGCCGGUAAGAAAACCUGUGAUGACCUGUGAUGAGGGGUGUAUAAACCUAUGUUCGUUAAGGAGUGAAAGAGGGGAGAUAUUGAAAACCUGGAAAAUGGUGGGGUUUUUGUCACGGAAUUCAACAUCCCAGCGAUCCCAGAAGCUGCGCGAGGUGAACCUGUGCAGGUGGUUUUGGGUAGCCAAGGUAUAUAGUGGGGGGCGAUGAUGAAUUUGCGGCGGCGGAGCGUGCCAGCUGAUCGGCUAGGCAAUUACCGAAGAUCCCAGCAUGGCCUUUGACCCAGUGUAGGGUGAUAGAUCUAUGGGGGAGGAGGGAAAAGAGCAACCUCUGUAUCUUGAACACCAGAGGAAACCUUGUAUCGAGGUUGGAGAUGGCGUGUAGAAGGGAAAGGCAGUCCGAGAAGAUCCCAACCGAGAGGUUAGGAGGAAGGGUGGAGACGUCCCGUAGCGCCGUGAGGAGGGCAAAGCUUUCGGCUUGAAAAACGCCGCAGUGAGUGGCGAGAUGUAGGGAGAGGGACAAGGGUGGAAUCCCAAGGGAGGAAGAGGAAAUUCUGGCGACGCCUGAACCAACCCCCUCUUUGGUUUUGGAGCCGUCGGUGAAGUAACAGACGUCAGGUGCGCUAGGAGGGAUGGGACGGUGGGAGAGAUCGGGAAGAAGAGGUGGAGACGGGUAGAGGAAGGGAGGAGGUCUCUUUCGACCUGGAAGGGCAAAGGCUCGGGUGGGCGUGAUAGCGAAGAGAGAAGCAGGAUUUUUAGGUCGAGGGGAAGGAUCCUAAGGAGAGCUAUGGCUGCCAAGAGGGGAACGGUCCGGAAUCCACGGAUAGCGUGGAGGCAAAACUUCCGUUGUGUUGAACGGAGUUGACUCCGGCCCGCACUGGUCUUGACCGCAUCAGCCCAGAUCGGAGCGCCGUACGUAAUGGCGGGUUCAAUGGCCCCAAUGUAUAGUCGUCGGCGGGCGUGAAACCCGAGGCCUGAGCGGGCGUUGGAGCAACCCUUGAGGCGACCUAGAAUGGACAGGGCACGGUCGCAUACCCAUUGGAGGUGGGAGUCGAAGGUGAACCUAUCAUUGAAGACCACCCCGAGGGCCCUUAGCCUAUCCGUCCAUGGGAUAACAGUAUCCUGUAAAGUCAAGGAGGGAGGGUUGGUAAAGAUAGGGAGGACCUCACUUUUGUGAGGAGUGAGGGUCAGUUUAUUGUCCAGACACCAGUCGGAAACGAGAUCGAUGGAGAGCUGGGCGCGGGAGGUCAGAAUGCCUGGGGGACCUGACACUACGAUCUGAAGGUCGUCCGCGAAUGCCUGUAUAUGAACGCCGGGUGGGUAGGGAAGGGAUAGUACAGGGUUAAAGGCAAUGUUCCAGACGUGGGGGCCACUCCUAGAUCCUUGGGGGCACCCUCUGGAGGGAAGCUUAGAAGAAGAGCAUUUUUUGUAAGAAAGGGUGACUGUACGGUCACUGAGGAAGGAGUGGUAAAGGGCCUGGAGGGUGGGUGGACAGGCGGCGGCGGUGAGCUGAGUAAGGAAGGACGGGUGCCAUAGGUGGUCAAAGGCCGACUUGAUGUCGAGACUGAUGAGGAGGGCGCAUUGGUGGGAACGUAUGGACUCCGAAAUUUUGGUCUUUAGUAGGGCGAGGGCGUCCAAAGCACUUCUCCCUUUCCUGAAACCAAACUGAUUGGGGUGGAGGAGACCGUUGGAUUCAAAGUGGUGCGAAAGUCGAAGGGAGAGCAUGCUCUCGAGGGUUUUACCCAGGAUAGGGAGGAGAACUAUCGGGCGGUUUUGGGAGGUGAAAUCCUCACCACUCGAUUUCUUGGGGACUAGUACAACUCGUCCUACUUUCCAGAGCUUGGGGAAGUGGCGAAGAGAAAAGCAUUUGUUAAAGAGGUUGAAGAAAAAGGUGGAGAAGGAGGAAAGUAGCCAUUUGGCGAAUUGACCGGGCAUCAAGUCAGAACCAUGGGACUUUUUAGGGUUGAGGGCCCGUAGAGCAAGGUGGAAUUCUAGGGUAGAAAAAGGAAUUUCAGGUGGGGGAGGGGUAGAGGGAAUAGGGGGGGAGGGAAGGAGGUGGGAUGGGCCGGAAUUUGGAGGAGGCUCUGAAAAGUAGACGUCCAAGAUGUCCUUAAGGUUAGCAUUGACGUUCUGUUGGGUAGUGAGGGUUUCAAACCUCCUUGAACAGAACGGGUUACGCACGGAGAACCCUCGAGCGACAUAGCGGUGUAUAGGACCCCAAGGAUUAUGGGUGAAUGAAGAGGUAAAUUCCCUAAAGUGCCUUUUCUUGGCAUUGAGGAUAGACCUAUUAUAUUUGUUUCAGAGUCUUGCGUAACCCUCGCGGUAGCUUUCGCGGAGAGGAGGAGCGACGGUUUUCAAUUUCCUGCCAAGACUCCUUGAAAGCGUCUUCAAUCUCUGAAGUUCGGAGUUCCACCAGGGGACGGGGGGAGGGAAGGAGGGGAGAGGAGUUUUGGGGCUGAGGUUCUGGGAACAAGAAAGAUGUAGAAGAGAGUAGAGAAGAUCGAUGAGUUGGUCCAGCGAGGCCGCCGAGUCACAACUAUCGAGGGCUGUAGAAAGAGAGCUAUCGGGGGAAAAGAUAGAAUUGAGGGCUAGAAAGAGUCUGCGAGGGGGUGGGGAUUUAAGGUUGAAGGAGGAAAAGUCAGGGAAUAGCCUAGGAUGAGGGGAAGGGGGGGGACCGAGGUCUGGAACAUCUAGGCUAAAGAAGAUCUGAAAAUGGUCAGAAAGGGCACACUCCUCUGCCUUCCAUCCCGAGACGGCACUGGAGAGGUGGUUGGAGACGCAAGAGAUGUCUAUAGAAGACUCCCGCGAUCCGAGGCGGCGGGUGAUGGUUCCCAUCCGGUUGCACACGUAGAGUUGCAAAGUGUCUAGGAGAUCAUUCACAUGAUCCCCUUUCCGGUUGGGACGCCGGAGGCUCCAUCGGGCUGAUUCAGCGUUAGCGACGCCCGCAAGGAUAAGGUUGGGAGGAGGGGGGGAACCGAGGAGGGAGGAAAGAGAUUCAGUAGCACUGAGGAAGUUUGAGUUGCAGGGGAGGUAAAGAGAGCAGAUAGUAAGAUGAAAGUUCGGGAGGUCGACCACCGCAAUAGUGCGGUUGACAGUAGAAAUUUUGGGAAGGAAGAGAAUAGGGAGGUCAAGAUUAAGAACGAUAAUGCAGGAACUACAUUUGUUGUUUAGAAUAGGGGCGUGGAGAUAGGAGGAAGCGGGGACAGGAAAACAGGCAGGGAUUCGUCCAGAGCGAACAGGGAGUUCCUGGAGGAGAAGGAGGUCGAUCCCGGAAGAAAGAGCAGUAUGAAUAGAAGAAAAGAAGCACGGUAUAGACCUAUUGCAGUUUCGCUGCAGGAAGGAGAGCUUCAUUGUAGGCUGUUUUUAGAGUGGAAGUCCUCCUCGGCUUUUUUCAGUACUGGGCAUUUUAGGGAAUCAGCCCGAUGUUCCUGUUGGCACCUGAAACAUUUGGGUUUCUGUGCGGUGGACGGACACUCACUCACGCUGUGGUUGUUGCCACAGUGGAGGCAUUUGGGAGACCAUUUGCAAGCGGGAGUUUUGUGACCGAUUGUGCCGCAUUUACGGCACGGGAAGGUGGCCCUGGUCUUGGCGAUUGACAGGAUGGCAUAUCCGAAGAAAGUCUUGGCCCUGUUGUGGAGAAGGGAGGCAUUGGUGGGGCCGACCUCAAAAACAGCGUGUUUCGUAUUGCGGCCUGUGCCUAUUGUUCGGAUCAAGCUGCACUUGUUGUCGGAAUUUUCGAGGCCCGAGAGGAAGAUGUCGGUAAGAGAGCUAUCUGGGGUAUCGGCUGGAAUGUCAAAGACCGUGAACCUUUGGUGGAAAGUUGGCGGGCGGAUGAGAUCGAGUUCCAAACUAGAAGCUAAGGGAGUAACUAUAUUGGUUAGGGUUGCUAGGUCUUCCUUAUUUUUGGUGUGGAGCGUUAUUUUGGAAUUGGUCGCACUCACAUAGAGAAUGGGGACACCUAAGGAACGCAAGGGGAGAAUAGAACCAAGGCGGGAACCUAUAGGAGUCAGGACCUCUGCUUUUUGGGUUAGGGUGAUGUGGAAAGGGUUAUUACGGGGGGGAAUGGGGCGGAUUUUAGUUGGCCUAGGGUUAGUAACAGCAGCCCUGGGUUUAGAGGUGGUGGAGGGCGGGGGUUUGUGGGCAAUGGUGACUGGGUCGUUAGAGGGAGUAUUGGCAACAACUGUGGUAGUAGGUGUUACAGGGGUAUGAGGCAAGGUACACACUUUAGAAGUAGGGGGAGGUGGGUAGAGGGAUUUGAUUGGGCGGCAAAAAAUAGUGAGGAAGAACAUUGCAAUUCAUGAAUUCUAUGGGUAUAGGCAUAUUUAAGGGUGGCUAUGAUUUUUUCAAGUUGUUGGUAAACAAAAGAACCAAGAUUGCUGUCUGUGUCUCCGAUAUGGUUACAUAGCAUUGUACAGUUUUUGGUCGCCCAAUCAAAUGCCUGGUAAAAGGGUGUUGGUUUGGAGUUAAAAGGGAAGGGCAAUGAGGGUGGAGGAGCUGUCAGUGUGAAGUCCCUUGGUGAAUAAUUAAGGUCCUGGUUAGGGUUUGGUGUGGCUGAUGGAGGAUGGAUAGGGGUGGAAGCACUUACCCCAGGCCGGUUGCUAUGGAUGAGGUUACCUCCGAAUGUUGGGUCCAUUGCGGAGUCGAACAUUCUGUAGACGACUUCAUCAGGAGCUGGGCUGGGGAUGGGGGAAGAGGAGUCUUGGGAAGAAGACUGAGAGCCCCCAGGAGAGAAGGAGGCGUCGGAGGGAGGGGGCGGAGGUGUGGUCUCUGGAGGGAUCGCUGAGAUGGGGGCACGUGACUGGGUAGGCCUUCUGCUGGUUGUCUGGCGGCAUGUGGGCCCACCAGCGGGCGGGCGGCUGUUGGGGGGCGUACUGGCAGGUGCGCGGCGAUGGGCGGAGGAGCCGCCGCUCGGGGGGGAGGGUAAUGGAGCCAGCUUGGGAGAGAGAUGAUGUUUCCUCGUCUGGAGGGGGAAAGCAAUUGGCGGUGUGCGGCCGCUCAGGAGAACCCGCGUUUUGAUUUGCUGCGGGCAAAAAUAAAAUCCGGGAGGGAGGAACGGCGUUUGGCGGCCGUUAAGGAGGUCCGGAAUAAUAAUUUAAAUUUUCCUCGUUUGGCGGGGUGUCCAGGAGGGUAUUCAGGUGGAACACACACAGUCGCAGGGGCACAGGAGCGCGGGGGCACUGGAGUACAAGAGGUCUCGGGCGCUGUAGAGGUGUGUAAAGGGGUAAAAUAAUUUUCCCUAUUUAGCAACCUUGAAUAAACUGACACCACCAAAAAAAAGUGAGUGCCCUUACUUCAGGCAGUAUCCCUGUGCCUUACCACGGGUGGGGGGUCACAAGGGACUGGCAAGAAGCGAUCCUAAUUCAAGGGAAGCUUUUGACUCCAAGAGUAUCCAGUAAUCCUUACCACUGGUGGGGGGAAUAACUAGACUCGCUGAAGUUAUCGAGAGAGUGUGGACGCUCGUUGGCGUGGAAGUGUUAAAUGGCCGAGUGCGGCCGCUUUGGAGAUCCCGCAUUUUGAUUAACUGCGGGCGGAAAAAAAUCCGGGGAGGAUAAAUGGCGUUUGGCGGCCGUCCAAGAGAUCCGGGGAAUUAAAUAAUUUUUAUCCUCGUCUGGUUUCUUGGUGAAUUGGGGCUGGGCGUCCAAGGAUGUAUCCUUGUAUGACCGCUGGCGCUGGGGAACAGGAGCACAGGAGACCAGGGGCAUUAUAGAGAAAUUCCUAUUUAGCUUCGGCAUAGGUGGGCAGGGAGAGGAUGUUUGCAAUUUUUGUUCAAGGAGAUGAGUGAGGAGGUUUGUGGAGUUGUUGGCCUCGAGGAGGCGUUGUUGGUGUAUUUUUGAGAUGUGUGCGAAAGUUUUUUUUAGAGCAAAGCGGAAACCAUCAGCAAGGGUGGGGUCAACAGAGUCAGCAUAAGGGGCAAGGAUGUGAUAGGCCCAGUUUAGAUGUAGGAGGUGUGAGGGGUUGUUGGUUAGGAACAUGUCACAUGUGGGUGGAGGUGAGUCAAGGGUGUAGUGUUGUUGAGUUGGUUGGCGUAGGUGGAGUGGUGUGUGUACAUGUGUGGAUGAGGUAGGGUGAAGAGGGGUGGAGGAGCUCACCCCUGGUCGUCUGCCAAGGUCCAGAUUCCCGCCGAUGGUAGGGUCGAGCAGGGAGUUGAACAUGCUCGGGUGGACAAGCUUCGCCUGUCUGAUAGAGGUGCGAAAUCUAUUAUAUAAUUUCUUAUAAAAUAUCUUUAACACGCUUCUAACAGGCUCACAAGCUUUUCUCCACGCCCUUUCAACUUUUUGAGUUGCCCUUUGGAACGGAUUUAGUUCAGGUUUCCACCAAGUGGGUUUCUUAAAAAAAAAAUAUUGGUGGAAGGUUUAGAGGGAUUGGUUUGAAGACAGGAGUGAAACACCUCGUCCUCUAGUAAAUUAAUUACUUCAUCAACUUGAGUUGUGUCACUCGCGUCCAGUAAGGAGGAGAUUCUAGACAUUUUUUUAUUAAAGUGAGAUAAAAAAAAUCCCAGUCGGCGUGACCAAAGCUGAAGUGUAUUUCACUAAAGUUGUUUACGUGUAUGUCGUUAUUGCUGUUAGAAGAGAGGGGUUCAAAAUUAACGUUGAACACGAGGUGUUUAUGGUCAAAUAAAGCCUGGUUGAUUGCAUUCCAAUCGGCGAUCCCGUCCGCGAGGCCAGCAGAACAACACGUGACGUCGAUGGAGGAGGACCUCUCGCCCUCCUCCCACGUGAUCGUGCCGUGUUUGUUAACAACGUGGAGCAAGUUAGCGUCGAGGAAGUUUUCGACAAUUUCUCUUUUAGACCAUUUGUAUUUAAGCAACCGCGCUUUAUUUGACCAUCUAUAGGAUUAAAUAUUAAAGUCCGCGCAAAAAAUCACCUCGUGGAAAUUAAUUGUUUUUAAAGAGUUGUCUAUCCUAUCAAGAAGAGCAUCGGAACAACAUGAUGGUGAAAGAUAAACAGUACACAGAAGGAUUGACAAGUCAUUCACUUCACACAGGACAAAUACAGCAUUCACACAAGACAAGUGAGACAAGUAUAUGAAUUUUAAAUUCGGAUUUGCUAUUAUUACGGCCGCUCCCAAUUUAUUUUCAAUUAUUGGACCGCAGCAAACCCUGUCAAGGGGCACAGGUAAUGACGGUAAAUUGUUUUUGGAAACUGUGAGUUCUUGCAACAAUAGCACAUCCGAUUCCUCCUCGCGACAUUUAUUCAACAAGGAUUACAAACAAUAUGUCUUUCAUUGGCUUGAACACACUUGAGAACGUUCUUCGCACCAACAAUUUAUUGAAAUUAUCCUGUGCCUCCCGCAUGUGUUUACACGCCAUGGAAUUGGCACUGUGUUUGUCGCCACACCUGUGACAUUUCAACACAGUUUUGUUUUCACAGGUUUCGGAAAGAUGUGCACCAGCGCAGUGGCUACAUUUAGCCGCCCUAGUGCACUUCUUUCCGUUGGUGUGGGUUUUGUGACUUAAACUGCCACAGACACCACAUGGGAAGACGCGCUUUGCUCUAGCGAGUCUCAGUGAGAGGAAGUCAAUCGUGAUCCUACCACGCUCGAGCAAGGCAGUCUCGACUUCCUUAUUUACUUCUACUAUCGCAGUGGAGGGGGCACCCUCUUUCUUAAUCAGUUUCACCAUCCUCAUGUUUUCGCCACUUUUCAGCAGCUUUUCGACAACGGGAUGGCUACUUAUAUCAGCCACAAGCUGCUCCUCAGUUUUCUCUCCAGGAAUACCGAAGAUAGCAAGCCUGGGCUUGAAUGUGGGGUUUGUCCUGACUUUAAGUCCACCAAUGUUGGCGGACUUAACGUUGUCCACAAGCCUCUUUUUUUCAGAGGGGUUGGCGAAGUGGAGGACAAGUUUUUUUUAUCCCUCCCUGUCACCGCGGCUACAUCACAUUUUUUUUAAACUGGGAGUUUGGGCGAUUUUUGCCCUAAUCUCACUAACAGUGAGGUCCGCGGAAGCGAGCUUCACGUGGUUGGUGCUGUUACGCAGCAUAUGCGCGUAACUGGGCUUAGUUGGUUUAGCAGGCAUAGCAACUGCAUUGGUUAGCUGGGUGACUUUAUUCGUCACAGGGGCUGGUUUGGGAGGAGGUGUUGGAGCAUUGGGAGAUCCUGCCAAGGAGGGAAGAGGCCUUAUCGCAGACUCGGUAGAGGUGAGGGGUGAAGGAAAGACGAUCGUCGAACGUAACGCCCAAGAUGGUAAGGGUUUCGGGACAGGAGAGGGGGGGUGUCAUCUAUGAGGAGAUGGGGAGGGUUGCAGUAAAUAGGGAGGACCAGUGACUUAUGUGGGGUGAGGGAGAGCUUGUUGUCCAGGCACCAAGAGUGAAUGAGGUCGAGGGAGGACUGAGCUAGAGAAGGGAGGCUGUUGGAGGGGCCUGAGACGAGGACCUGAAUGUCGUCUGCGAAGGCCUGAACGUGGACGCCGUGGGGGAAGGGGAGGGAGAGAAUGGGGUUAAAGAAUAUGUUCCAGAGCAGGGACCCGCUGAUGGAGCCCUGAGCGCACCCCCGCGAGGGAGAGGUGGAGCGAGAGAAUCCUCGAUAGGAGAAGUGGAUAGAGUGGCUGGAAAGGAAAGAGCGGUAAAGUUGGAGGAGGUCGGGGGGGCAGGAGGCGGCGACCAGUCGACCGAAAAGGGCGGGAUGCCACAGGUGGUCAAAGGCUGAUUUGAUAUCAAGGCUAAUGAGGAGACAGCACUGGUAUUUGGAAACGGACAGUUUGAAUUUUUGAUGGAGAAGUGAAAGAGUUUCGGUGGUAGAGCGCCUCCGUCGGAAGCCGAAUUGGUGAGGGUGGAGCAGGUGGUUACUCUUUCGAGUAGCUUGCUGAGAAUGGGGAGAAUUAUAAUGGGUCGGCAUUUAUGCUUGAAGUCGGUGGAGGAGGAGCGUUUAGGGAGGAGGAGGAGGCGACCCGCUUUCCAAGCGAGGGGAAACGGCAUUGACAUCUCCAGCGAAGAGAAGGCGAGGGGGGGGAGGGGAGCCAAAGAGGGAGAUAAAGGAGUCGAUGAUGGGGGAGUAAGAAGUAUGGUGGGGAAAGUAGACGGAACAAAGGGUGAGGUGGAAGCCGGGGAUGUCCAGGAUUGCGAUAGUGCGGUUGCUAGUGGAGAGACGCGGGAGGAAGACUAUGGGGAGGCUCUGGUUAAGGAUCACUAUGCAAGAGUUGCAGCGGUUGUUGGAGAUGGGAGCGUGGAGGAGGAGGGGGUGGGGAAGGGGGAGGGGAGGACGUUGUCGUGGACUGGAAGCUCUUGGAGGAAAAGGAUAUCUAUGUGUGAGGACUGGGCGAACUGUAUUAUGGAGAGGUAGCCGAAGAGGGAUCGGUUGCAAUUUAAUUGUAGGAAGCUGAUCAUAUGAGGUUGUGGGUGAUUAAGAAAGUGUUUUCGGCGGCCUUGAUGUCCGGCCAGGAGAGUGAGUCUGCCCGGUGUUGGCCGUCGCCGCUGCAACGGAAGCAUUUGGGUGGGAGGGUGGUGGAGGUACAAUCGUUGGUGUGGUGUGUGUCGCCGCAGUGUAGACACCUGGCUGGUUUGUUGCAUAUGUCGUUACGGCAGGGGUGCGUGGAUCUGGUUCUUUUGAACCUGAUGGAGUUGUAGCCGAUGAAGAGGCGGGUGCGGGUUUGUAUGUCGGUGGCGGUUUCGUGGUUUGUUUCUAUGAUGGCGUGAACGGAAUUGUUGCGGCCGUUAAAGGUCCUGAUUAAUGUACAGUCGGGGCCGACCGAUUGGGUGAGGAGGGAGGGUAGGUCAUUGAGUGGGAGGGUGUUGGGGAGGUUAAAGAGAGUGAAACGGGGUUUAAAUUUGGGGGGAAGGGUUACAUUGAUAUCAGAGCCUGUGGUAGCGUGUUUAAGUUUGGCGAAAAUGUUGUCCAUGCUUGUUUUUGUGUUGGUGUGUAAGAUUAACUUGUUCCUGGAGCGGAAUAUGUCGGUGAUUUGGGUUGUGGGGGAAGCGAGGGUGGAGAAGCAAAUUUUUGAGCGGAGGUUGUUGUCUAUGGGGGUGCUGGCGGAGUUGUCUUGAGUGAUGAGGAUGUGGUAAGGGUUGUUGCGGUUAGAAGGGGGAGGGGGGCGGCGGGGUGGGAUGUGUGUGGUGUGGCAGGGGGAGGGGGAGUAGGAGAGGGGGGUAGGGGUUUAGAGGUGGUGGAGGGCGGGGUUUUGUGGGUAAUGGUGACUGGAUGGUUAGGGGAGGUGUUAGCAACAACUCUGGUAGUAGGUGUUACAGGGGUAUCAGGCAAGGUGCACGCUUUAGUAGUAGGGGGUAGGUGGGAAGAGGGAUUUGGUUGGGCAGCCAAGAACAGUGAGGAUGAAUAUUCUAGCUCGUGGAUCCUACGUGUGUAGGAAUCUCUGAGGGUGGCUAUAAAUUUUUCGAGGUGUGAAAUGACACAUGCGCCAAGAUUGCUGUCUGUGUCACUGAUAUGGUGACACAGCAUUGUACAGUUUUUGGCCGCCCAAUCAAAUGCCUGGUACAAGGAUGUCGUGUUGGAGGUAAUAGAGUAGGGCAAGGAGGGUGGAGGUGAGGUCAAUGUGAAGUCACGUGACAAAUUCAGGUCCUGUUCUGAGCUUGAGUUUGAUGUGGCUGAUGGAGGAUGGAUAGGGGUGGAAGCACUUACCCCAGGCCGGCUGCUAUGGAUGAGGUUACCUCCAAUUGUUGGGUCCAAUAGGGAGUCGAUAAUCCAAAUUGUGCUUUAUUUUUUUGGUUCCACAGAUCUUCAACCAUAAUAUUAUCUCGCAUUCUUAUCUCAUUUCCAAAUAAAGUAUGGGCUCUUUCGUCUGAAUCUCGCUCAAUCAGGUAAUUGCGUAAAUUGAAGGAACUUCUCCCAAGAUUAUGCAGUUCCAUUUUAUUCACUUGAUCUAUGCAUUGAUCCCACCAUUCUGAUAGCUCCAGUAUGGAGGCAAUGAGAUUUGGUUUUUUUACAUGGAGAUUAUGUAAAACAGUAUUUUAUCAUGAAUUUCAAUAAAGGGCAUAGCUUAAUCGCAAUUUCUCUUGUUUCAAUAUAUUUCAAAAAAAAAAAUCCAGUUGAAUAUCCGAAAUUGGCAUCAAAAUCUCUGUAAUUUCUUCCAUCUCUAAAUUAUCGUUAAUAAUAUUAUUACAUAUAUAUAUUGCAAGAUAGCUAGAAGGUGAACAAUCAUCAAUUCCUCUUAUAUUUAAAUCUGCUCCAAACUCAAUUAAUAAUUUUAUAAGUUCUCUAUUCCAAAAAUAUAUUGCACAAUUUAGAGGUAAUGUUUCUUGAUGAUUUUUUUUCAUUAACGUUUAUACAACCUAACUCUAACAGAAAUUUUGAAAUUGAAAAAUUAUCUUCGAUACAUGCAUGUAAAAAUGCUGAAUCACCAUUAUUGUCAGUUUCAUCAAUUUUCACUCCUGCUUUAAGUAAUUCAAUCAAAAUAUCCUUUUUGUUAGCUAUUGCUGCAACUAUUAAACAUGUUCUACCAUUUUCAGCUCUUGAAUUUGCAUCCGCGCCAGCUUCUAACAAUAACCUAACAUUUGUAAGACUUUCCAUACGGGAAAAAAAUAAGGGUGUACAACCUCUUUUAUCACAAGCGUUUACAUUUGAGCGACAUUCUAAUAAAAUUUUGAGAAUAUUUAUAUUAUCUUCUUUAGCUGCAUACAUCAAAGGAGUAAGUUCUUCUGAAUUCUUUGCUUCUAAAUCUGCAUUUUUUAAAUCAAUAUUUCGCAAAAAGAUUUAAAUUGUAAAUACACAGCUAAAUGUAAACAUGUAAUCGAGUUUUCAUAUUUCAGGUGAAUAUUUGCACCUUUCUCAAGCAAGAGUUCAAAUAAUUGAAGAUUACUUUGAUCAAGAGAAAUAAAUAGUGUUGUUUCUAGGGUGUGUGGCCGCUCAGGAGAACCCGCGUUUUGAUUGGCUGCGGGCAAAAAACAAAUUCUGGGAGGGAGAAUCGGCGAAAGUUAACCCUUAGGUCAUUUAGCUGGGGACAUUCAAAAAAUAUGUGGUCAACCGUUUCAGGGGCGUGUUGGCAGUCAGGGCACAUGACAUCUCGCAAGAGGUCCCUCCUCCUAUACCUGUAGGUUCUGAUAAAUGUGUGGCCGGUGAGGAAACCUGUGAUAAUUUGCGAAGAGGGGUGGAUAAACUUUUGUUCUCUAAGGAGCGAAAGAGGGGAGAUUUUGAAGGUCUGGUAGAUGGUAGGGUUCUUAUCACGGAAUUCAACAUCCCAGCGAUCCCAGAAGCGGCGCGAGGUGAACUUGAGCAGGUGGUUAUUGGAGGCCAAGGAAUACACUGGGGGCGAUAAUGAGUCAGCGGCGGCUUGGCAUGCCAGCAGAUCGGCGAGACAGUUCCCAAAAAUGCUGGCAUGGCCUUUAACCCAGUGCAGGGUGACGUGUCUUUGAGGGAGGAGAGAAAAAAGUAGCCUCUGUAUUUUGAAAACCAGGGGGAACCUUAUAUCGGGGUUGGAGAUGGCGUGAAGAAGAGAAAAGCAGUCAGAAAAGAUCCCAACAGAGAGGUUAGGAGGGAGGGUAGAGACGUCCCGGAGCGCCGUGAGGAGAACAAAGCUCUCAGCCUGAAAUACGCUGCAGUGAGAGGCAAGAUGUAGGGAGAGGGCCAAGGGUAAGAUCCCAAGAGAGGAAGAGGAAAUUCUAGCGAUGCCAGAACCUACCCCCUUUUUGGUUUUGGAUCCAUCAGUAAAGUAGCAGACAUCAGGAGCUGUAGGAGGGAUGGGACGGUGAGAGAGAUCGGGCAGAAGAGGUGGAGACGGGUAGAAGAAGGGAGAAGGUCUUUUUUCAACUUGGAAGGGCAAGGGCUCGGGUGGGCGCGAAAGCAAGGAGAGUAAAAUGAUUUUUAGAUCGAGAGGAAGGACCCUAAGAAGAGUUAUAGCAGCGAAGGUGGGGGCGCUAUGAGGCGCUGGCUGUAUGUUUGUGUGAGGUGUGAGAAUGUUAUGUCAAGGGUAGUUUCAAAUUAGUCGGCGUUUGAGGGGGUGAGGAUACAGGCGAAUGGAGCAAGGAGUCUCAGAGAGGGGUAAUCAAUGGAAAAAUGCUCGAGCAGAGCAGCCUCGAUAUCUUUGUUUACCUCUAAUAUCGCUGUGGAGGGUGAACCCUCGUUCCUUAUCAGUUUAACAAUUCUACAAUCGGCGUCGUUUUUCAACAUUUUCUCGAGAGCAGGAUGGCACCUAAUAUCAGCCGCAAGCUGCUCCUCGGUUUUCUCAGCUGGAACCCCAAAGAUAGUGGGCCUGGGCUUAAAUGUAGGGUUCGACUGGACUUAAGACUGCCAAUGUUAGCGGUCUUAACCUUGUCAACAAACCUCUUUUUUUCAAAGGGAUUAGUUUUUUUUUUUUGCUUAUCCCUAGUACACGUGGUACAGGCCAUGAUAAUCAUGGUGGGUAGUUAGCGACUGCUUUUACUGUAAGUGCACCACAUGUCUACACAUGUGAAAAGCAGUUCGACUUUGCACUUACUAAUGCCAGAGCCCCGUUUGGUUACUUGCACUCGCUGGUGGGGUUGGACUUUUGCAAGAAUCGGGGGCCAUUGGAGCAUUUUUUUUCUUUAAACAGAAAAAAGUGUCCAAUGCGGGUUCGAACCCGGGUCCUAGUGGUCGAAAACCAAAUGGUUUAACCAGGUGGAGGACCAGUUUUUUAUCCUCCCCCCAGUCACAGCGGCAACAUCCAAGUUCUUCAAACUGGGAGUCUGAGCAAUUUUUGCCCUUAGCUCCUUGACAGAAAGAUCGGCGGAAGCCAACUUAACAUGUUUGGCACUGUUACGCAGCGUCUGAGCGUAGCUGGGUCGUGAGGGCUUGGUCAGAUUAACACUGACACUAGCUGGCAGCGUGACUUUUGUCACUGGAGCGGAUUUGAGGUCGCAGGCCUUCAGUUUGUUGGCCAGAAUGUCAAACAAGGAGUGCUGCAGACUCGUCAACAUCCCGUUAAUUCUAUGGUACAUCACCCAGUAAGGUGAUGCACCCAUGUCCUUACCCAGGACCGUUCCUAUCUUCCCAUACACCAUAGUUAGACAUUCAGUGAAGCUGGUGCCUAUUUCUUCCCACCCUUCGCCGAAUGCCUGGUUGGAAUCAAGAGGCCUGAUGGGUGAAGUAGAGGGAGAGACCCGGGGAUACUCACCAGUGGGAGGGAUCUCAGGUUGAACAAGCCUGAUUCCAUGCCAAGAGGGGUCCAUUGUAUUAGCGUCGCUUUUUUUAUUAUUGCAUCUAACCAGGGGGGUGUCCAUCAUGCCGUCGAGGGAUGAUCAGUGGAGCCUCGCUCGUAAGCUUUUAAAUUACUCAAAACAAAAUGACUCAUGUAGAACUUGAGCCAAAAAAAGGAAAAACUCCGCAGGUUGUGGGGAUGGGUGAUACAUGGGCACGGAAUGUGCUGGUUGACAGUCAAUAUGAACAAGUUGGUACAGAUGGGUAUGAUGUGGAAGGGAUGACAGAAGUUUACAACAAUAUAUGUACAACAAACAAAAUGAGCAAGAUAAACAACAAGGGGGAAUGUGGGAACGUAUGACAGACUACGGGCUAUGGAUUACAAUAGGGAAAAAUCAUCAGACUGUGGAAUAUUUUCAGGCACAAACCUACCAUAGUUGUUGCCGAAUUCACACGCAGAAUGCCAAAGAACACUGGAGUCGGCGAACUCAGAGAGGGUGGUUGGAAUUUAAAUCUCUCUUCAGAAACUGGCUUGUUAGAAUAAGCUUCCUUUGCUCGUCCAAGUUUUCAACAGAAUCUCUUCUGGAAGAGAUAAAUUUAAGCAACCGUGCUUUAUUUGACCAUCUGUCAAAAAAAUACCUCGUGGAAAUUGAUUGAUUUUAAAGAGAGGUCUAUCCUGUCAAGAAGGGCGUCAGGACAACAUGAUGGCGAAAGAUAAACAGUAAACAGAGGGAUUGACAUGUCAUUCACUUCACAUAGAACAUUCACACACGACAAAUGUUCAUCACCUGUUUUCUCCAGACUUUCCCCACAUUAUAGUUGAGCCCUACCUGAAGCACAGUGGUUGUACCUGAAGGUCAUCAGUAUCUCUUCAGUUAUUUCUUCUCAUUUAAAUUAGGAUUAACAAAUUGUGCAACAUUUGUUUUGAGCUAUUUCUUGUAUACAAAUAAAAUGUCAUUUGUGAUCAUCUAUAAAUUUUGUUCACAGAAAUUGCUCCCCCCAAUGUUGGGUUUGAAUCUUGUCAGGGGAAAAUUUGUAGCUUUCACCAGAAUUUUUAUUACUACUUCUAGUGUUUUUCUAUUGAAAUUUCUUAGUCCUCCAAGUAUUAAUGCCUUUUAUAUUUUUGAGUAUUUUAUAAAAGCCUUAGAGAUUGAAUUGUCCUCUUAUUUUAUUUCCUUUUGGCCCCAUAAGAGCUAUCCAGAUUAUUAAAUGUUAAUGUGAUAAAUUGUUGUGGUUUACAAUACAUACAUUAUCCCAUAGUAUCAUUAAGAGGAGCCUAUCAUGGUAGAAUUUGUUGUGGGUCCUGUUCUAGUCUGGUGGCUUCCAUGCAUGUCUACCCACCCAUAUAGUGGAUGUACUUUGACACAAUUGUAAUCAUGGGCCAGGUUUGUGGUGGUUGGAAUGUCGCCAGGACUUCGCAGUGUGACCUCUAUAUUGUCGCUGGAUUAGAUUUCUUUCUCGGGGACCAUGCUGACCCAACUAAUUCAAGUCUGGAAACCAUAGCCUUUAAUUGAUGCAAUUAUGUGGUUAUUUAAUUGAAUUUUCUCUUUUAACACUUUGCUAUAUAGAUUUUUUUUUUCUAAAAGUAUUUUGAAACAUAACAAACAAAAAGACACUAUACAAAACAUAAACAAAAAGUUUUUAUUUAUAAUGUUUGGAUUAUCAGUAAGGUUGACCCAAAUAGGUACUGUAAAUAAUGUCAUUAUGAUACCAGACACUUGUUAGAUUAUGACAAUGGAAUUGUGUUAACAUAUAUUUAUGAUCUGUUUAUAGUGGCCUCUCUAGUUGAUUAGCUAGCUAUGCAAAUUUACUUACUUAUUUCUUUGUAAUUGUGUAAAUAAUGUCAUUAUGAUACCAGACACUUGUUAGAUUAUGACAAUGGAAUUGUUAACAUAUAUUUAUGAUGUGUAUAUAGUGGCCUCUCUAGUUGAUUAGCUAGCUAUGCAAAUUUACUUGCUUAUUUCUUUGUAAUUAUGUAAAUAAUUUCACGCUUCAUAUAUGUAAAAUAUUUUUGUUUAAUAAAUUCCAAUAAUGAGAAUGGUGUCUUUAUUUACAUCCUGGCAAUGCAACAUCUACACAGUCAUCUUCCAUUGAAUGGGGAAUAUUUAGAGCUCUUUCCACCUUAUCCCACACCUUGAUGGUUGCCAGCAUUGAUACAACAGUGUUGUGUUUUCUACAAGGGUGGAUCAAUAAUAAAUGAUAAAAGUUUAAUAGAAAAGGAAACAAAUGUAUAUACACUUUUAAAUUUAACUCUGUUGUUAUAUUAGAAAAAAUUCUCAAGAAACCAUCUGGCAACAUUUUUUUCCAAUAAAAAUGGUGACCAAAACAAACAGUUGCACCAAGUAUGAAAUGCGAUCAGUAGUACUUUUUUUUU